rnacentral:hammerhead_ribozyme from 1 species
AUACAGCUGACGAGUCCCAAAUAGGACGAAAUGCGCGUUGUCCUGGAU